rnacentral:misc_RNA from 1 species
UCCUCCGCUUAUUGAUAUGCUUAAGUUCAGCGGGUAUCCCUACCUGAUCCGAGGUCUGUCUCUUUGUGGUAUCCCAACACCCGAGCCCGAAACAGGCUGGUUGAGGGAGGAGACGCCGGUCGGGGGAGGUUUGGCGACGGCAUGAUGAACCUUUGCUCGCUUCACCUCCACCAAGGGCUUCGCUUUUGAAUUUCAGGCCCGCAUCCAAUCCCCCCAGCUCGGGGGGAAGCUCGCGAGGCCCAACUCCGGACCCCACCGCGGGAGUCCGACAGGACGCAUGACGCUCGGACAGGCAUGCCCCCAGGGUGACCCGAGGGGCGCAAUGUGCGUUCAAAGGUUCGAUGGUUCACUGAAUUCUGCAAUUCACAUUACUUAUCGCAUUUCGCUGCGUUCUUCAUCGAUGCCAGAGCCAAGAGAUCCGUUGUUGAAAGUUUUGCGUCGGUUGACGUAUCGCCCCAAAACGGGGCUCGGACUGCACCGUAUGAAGGGGUUGAAUUGGGCCACCGGCGGGUGCUCGGGCCCCACCGAGGCAACGUGGAAGGUUCAACAUCAGGGUUGAGGUAGGAAGGGUCCAGGGGAGGCUCGGGCCGAUCCAAAGGACCGUGAGGGGAUCCGCCUGGAACCCUCGACCGGUAAUGAUCCUUCCGCAGGUUCACCUACGGAA